rnacentral:rRNA from 1 species
AGCGGUAACAGAAAUCAGCUUGCUGAUUUGCUGACGAGCGGCGGACGGGUGAGUAAUGUCUGGGAAACUGCCUGAUGGAGGGGGAUAACUACUGGAAACGGUAGCUAAUACCGCAUAACGUCUUCGGACCAAAGUGGGGGACCUUCGGGCCUCAUGCCAUCAGAUGUGCCCAGAUGGGAUUAGCUAGUAGGUGGGGUAAAGGCUCACCUAGGCGACGAUCCCUAGCUGGUCUGAGAGGAUGACCAGCCACACUGGAACUGAGACACGGUCCAGACUCCUACGGGAGGCAGCAGUGGGGAAUAUUGCACAAUGGGCGCAAGCCUGAUGCAGCCAUGCCGCGUGUAUGAAGAAGGCCUUCGGGUUGUAAAGUACUUUCAGCGAGGAGGAAGGUGUUGUGGUUAAUAACCACAGCAAUUGACGUUACUCGCAGAAGAAGCACCGGCUAACUCCGUGCCAGCAGCCGCGGUAAUACGGAGGGUGCAAGCGUUAAUCGGAAUUACUGGGCGUAAAGCGCACGCAGGCGGUUUGUUAAGUCAGAUGUGAAAUCCCCGGGCUCAACCUGGGAACUGCAUUUGAAACUGGCAAGCUUGAGUCUCGUAGAGGGGGGUAGAAUUCCAGGUGUAGCGGUGAAAUGCGUAGAGAUCUGGAGGAAUACCGGUGGCGAAGGCGGCCCCCUGGACGAAGACUGACGCUCAGGUGCGAAAGCGUGGGGAGCAAACAGGAUUAG